rnacentral:tRNA from 1 species
GGAGGGAUGGCAGAGCGGACGAAUGCACCGGUCUUGAAAACCGUUGUGGCUGCAAGGUCACCGUGGGUUCGAAUCCCACUCCCUCCG